rnacentral:tRNA from 1 species
GCAGUCGUGGCCGAGUGGUUAAGGUGAAGGUCUCGAAAACCAUUGGGUGCUUUCCGCGCAGGUUCAAACCCUGCCGACUGUG